CCGUAUCAUGAAAAAUCCCUCUUUUAAUCCCAUGAAUCUCAUCUCUGAUUUCCCGAUCUCUUUAGAACUCGUUUAUUCACCUGUUUCCUUCACAGAGUUUAUGGUAUGAACCCUAAUAUACCAAAACCAGAAAUCAAAACUAACCUUUGACAGGAAAUCUAUAAACAUUUACUGAGUUUGGGUAACCUAAUCUCAGAUCGAAAAUAAAUCCGGGAAGAGUGGGGUACCAAAUCAAGAAAAAUAGAGUAUAACUCUAGCCCUAUCACUUAUUUUUUGUUAUGAAUUUUGAUUUGAGCUUAUUCAUCCUUGUUUUAAGUUUUUUGCAAGCUGUGUUUGUUUGAUUUCAUAUUUAUGAAGUAAUUUUGUAAAUAAUCUUGUGUACAUCUCUGGAGAGUCGUAUGCAGGGGUAUAUGUGACUACUCUGGCUUCUCAAUUGUGAAGGGUGACUAUCCUUACUGAUCCGAUGAACUGUGACUUAUACUUGAAAAACUAAAAGCAAAAUCUUAGAAAAAAUGGGAUCUUUUUCAAGUCUUGCAGCCGGUAUAAAGCCUGUACUGAACUUCGAGGGUUAUAUGAUAAAAACUGAGGCAACUGACUGGGAAUCACUCUAAGAUGGUUGAGGGUAGCUCUGGAGCUGUCAAUGACAUGGAAACCAUAAUGGUGCAGAAGUUCUGGGAUUCUGCCCUCGUUUAGACCCACUUGAAGAUGAUUGUGACACGCAAAGUGAAUCCGCAUUUAUGGCGUCAGAUAGUAUAGAACCAGGCAAGUCUUAUCCGUUUCUUGGUUUAGGAAAUUCAUUUGCCUUCAAAUUUGAGGAUCAUAAGGGUUGUGUACAUCUGCUCAAUCGCUGUACUGUGAAUUUGGAGAAGCUUGUAUCUACCGUUAUGCAGAGGAUAUGAACUGACAGUGAUCAAGAUCAUCCACAGUUUUUGGUAUGCUUGAUGUUUUAUGUUUCCUUUCUUUCUCAACUUUGUUUGGGGGCACAUUAAUUUUCAAUGUGAAGAUGAUGAAGGGAAUAAAGUUUUACUUACAACUGAUAGUGACCUUGCUGGAGCUAUUAGCCAUGCUCGAACAACGGGUUUGAAGGCACAACUGGGAUUGUGGAUUACACAAACAAUGACGAGAUGAAGUAUGUUGUAGUGUCAAAAAACUCGAUGACCGAGUUCAGGUAUACUUUUUCGGAAGCCUACAUUCCGGUCAAGGAGUAUGAUUCCAAGAGUAACUCUUCUGGAUGAUUUAUUAUAGAAUCAUCUUAAAUAAAAAGACUGCCAAAUACAAGAAGGGAAGUUGGAGAUUGAACCAGGUAACCUAGACUGGCAUGUCCUACCAAUGAUGAGAAGCAAUUUCGGCUUUGCCUUCGAUGAGGUUGGUCUUCUAAAACGGAUUCAGGUUAGCAUAUGUAUCAAUAUGUUGCCAUAUUUGUAUGAUUAUUCUUUGAGUUAUGAUAAACUAGGUCACUUCAACAUAAAACAUUGUAUGUCAAGUACAAUAUUUAAUUCACUU